UACAGGGGGAGCUAGUGUUGUUCGGAUUUACUGGGUGUAAAGGGAGCGUAGGCGGGAAUCUAAGUCAGGGGUGGAAUUUCGAGGCUUAACCUUGAACGUGCCUUUGAUACUGGAUUUCUUGAGUAUGGGAGAGGACGACGGAAUUCCUGGUGUAGCGGUGGAAUGCGUAGAUAUCAGGAGGAACACCGAUGGCGAAGGCAAUCGUCUGGAACAAUACUGACGCUGAGGCUCGAAAGCAUGGGGAG
rnacentral:rRNA from 1 species